AAACCCAAUCGAGAUGCAGACUGUUGGAUUAUUUAUACUUACGUACGGUUUGUGAUAAGCAUCGGGGUAUACUGUUAAAGAACUUGUAUGAGUAAUUUUCAAUACGAUUUGUACAGUUUCAUUUGUGUGUCGGUUUUGAGUCGUGUUUGAUUAAGGACUGUAUAUGAUAUUGGUAACACUAACAGUAUAGUAUCGUAAAUUGUCCCUACUGACUGAUGUUUCCAGUGUAAUUCAAGAAAUUGACAGCAAAUUACCAUGCUGUAAAUAAACUUUGAACUUUGUUACUCAUAAGACAUAUUUUUUAAAUCUCGUAUAUAUACUUAGUGAUUUUCUUCAACUAAGUAUGUUAUCAAAAAUUCAUCAUUAUUUAAAACAGCAUUGAAGUUGCAACUUGUAUUUUUAGAACAGUAACAAAGAUAUGUGCUUUCACAUCAGACAGGUUAAUUUUGUAUUUUUACAUAUAUAUGGAAAAACAAAAUGACUGAACUAAUAAACAAAACAGCACCAGCAUGUGCCACAAAAAAUCUAAAGGAAGAAGGCUAUUACAGUCCUGAAAAUGGAAUAUGUUUAGAGACUACGUGUGUCAACCAAAAUGGUGAAAAAGAAAAUCAAUAUGAAAACACAGUGGAUUUGUUACAUCAUGCUGCUGAGCAAUGUCAGAUGGUUGCCAAUCGUCUAAAAUGGAAAGAAUUGCAGAAAAAGUAUGCUACAGCAGAGCUAACAACACAACAAGAAGUGCCUCAAAUAUUGCAAGACCAUUCAUCUUGUUCUAAUAUUAAACAGAGAUCCACCAAUGGGCAAGAAUUGUCAACACAACAUGAAAUCUCCUUGAAUGUACUGAAAUGUGAAUGCUGUUCUGAAAUGGCUCAGAAGCUUAAAGCUUCAGUUACUGAAUGUGGAAGAUUAAGAAAGGUCAUUAAGGAGAUAACUGAUGUGAAUAAGCGAUGGCAGAAAUAUAACCAAGAGAGACAAGAAUAUCUUCAACAGCUUCUUACUAACUUCCAGGAACUACAACAGAGAGUAAACACUUCAAAUUGUAAUGACUCUCUGCUAGAAAAUUCUUUGUCACUACAAACAGCCAACUCUGUUGCUGGAACUCAUGGAUCAUACAGACAUAGUGAUUCAGCUCUUCUAAAUAAACCAACAGAGCAGUUGACAUUAAAGCAAAGCUAUGAAAAGGUGGUCAAGGACAACUGUCGACUUCAGAAAGAACAAGAAGAAAUGCGUCAAAACUUUGAGGCUUUAGUUUAUCAACUAGAUCUUGUUAGAAAUGAACGAAAAGAGCAUAUAGAAGUUCUAGAAAUGCAGGUUAGAGCACACAAAGAAGAUUGGGAAGCUGAAAAGCGAGAAAAAGAAGAAGCACAAAUAAAAUUGAAACAUCUAACAGAGGAAUUAAGUACUGCAAAGGCCAUGAGUCGAGACCUUGAGCAACAGAUCUAUAAAAGUGAUAAAACUUGCCACUGUAGUUCUGAGAGCCAGGAGAAAGCUUUGGUUGUUCUUAAUGGUCAUGGCCAAGCAAAUAAAGUUGAUCAACUACAUCAGUGGUGGGCUCCAAAUUCUCCUGCUACACCAUCUAAUGAUCAAAAGAAGCAAAACAUAUCCCCAAACGAGCCAGCAAGUAUUCAAAACGUUAAUAACCAGACUUACUAUAGUAGUGUGGCUUGUAACAUCUAUGCUCCAGAAUUGCCUGAAGUUCUAUAUAGAGGUGUCAACUUCAAACCUCAGAUGAAAACAAAUGACUUGGUGGUUGAUGUCAGUACUUUUCAUCCAAAGGCAAAUAACUCCCCAACAAGAACUACUCUUAUUAAACAAUUAAAUGAGUGCAGGUGCCACCUAUGUCAAUGGUUUUCAAAGUAAAAGUAGGAAGACUUUUAACCACCAGGAAUUUCUAAACUUUAACACAGCCAUGUCACUAGAAGGAGCAGGAUUGAUGUCCAUCAAUGAGCAUGACAAUAAUACUAGAAUCCUUAUCAAAACAUGGGAAGGCCAAGGGUUAGAAAAUCAUUGGUUGAAAUAUUUUGUUUUUACAGAAAAAAGUGGGCCAGGCAGUCCAGUCAGUUGUGAGCACAGUGGCCAUAAACCACCACCUCUCUAGUGGUUGAAUUGGAUCUGGAGCUAAAGUUGUCUUAAGAGGAAACUGGGUGCCAGGAAGGGACACCCAAGAUAUUUGCCAACACUCAACCAGCACCACCAAUGACAGAGGUGUAGAUUUUAAUGGCUAGUAGAAGGACCACCGUAAAUAGAAAUGUGGUAGUUGUGAAGGUCUUUAUACUAACCACACCAGUAGUACAUUUGACAGCAAGAGCCUUCAGGUUGAAUGAAGGUGCCUCCACCUCAAAAGCUGACCAAAACGUAACUGUGACUCCCCAUACCACUACCAAGACAAAGCUCGGGACAUUCACACUAACAUCAGCAGAGCAACUAGCGACUAUGUGGUCCAAUGAGCUACCUCAAUGACAACCAAGGGUUGACCAGCCCACCACUGUUUCAUUGUUCUGACAGAGCAGCAGGUACAGCUAAUAAAUUGGCACUGAUAGUAAGAUAACAGCCAUGUAAAACAGGGAAUAAGCCCUCAAUCUCACCUUCCAUGUUGGAAAAAGAGGUCCACUACCUGUAGAUAGAGCUGGCCCAAACCAAGAUGAUCCUUGGUUCAAGAAAUCACCAAGGACAUUAUGGCAACCAAUCAUGAUCUGUCACUUCUUUAGAGGAUCUGCUGUUAGGGUGAAAGUGAGGGGAGUCAGAUCUCAUUGCUAUUGUUAAGAUAGUUAUAUACAUUUUUAAUUUAAGGUCUGUAAAUAUCUGUAUCUUUGCAUUUCAUUUUUUUUCUGUUUGUUGUUCCAUUAUCUCAAAUGUACAAAUUCCCAAUUUGUUUGUGUAUUUGCACACUAUGAACAUAGUUUUAAUCUUUCUGUACUGUAAUUUCUAAGGGAUUUAUUUUCUUUAUCUUGUGUAUAAAUAUCAGUGUUUUAGGAUCAAUUCUGCAUUCAUUUCAGACAAUUUGUUUAGUGAUUUCUAUUUAGUUUUAUGUUGUAAUUAUAAUAUUCAUAAGGCCUAGAAAAAGAAUGCUUUGUUUCUGGUUGACCGACCGACCCUACAUAACAAUGUUUUUUCAACCCCUCUCCUCCAAAAAAAAUCACUCCUGACCCACCCUAACGAAAAAUGCUCUUUGAUUUUUUUUUCGUUAAAUUAUUGAAUUAAUAUGCUACUAUAUUGUACAAGGUGAAGGGAAUAAGAAACCACGUCUAUGAUUCGUUAGUCGGUGUGGUACGUGUGUCAAUGCUCUUAGCCAUUUAACUCUCACAACACAGGUUUGUCCCCUGGUGGGACAGCAGUAAGGUUAUGGGUUCGAUUCUCUGUGGUGGACACAGCAAAUAGCCCAGUGUGGUUUUGCUCUAAAUCACAAACAACAUGAGUUUGGUCAAGUUGAUUGACCGCAUGACCACUUUGUACUUGUUAUGGUCACAAACUUUUGCAGACUUUCAGUAAACUUUAUAUUCAAAAAAUUAGAUUUUUAGUGAAGUAUUUUUACUACAGAUUUGUCUGUGAAUAUAUCGAACCUUUCUUUUUACCAGUCCGAGUGCAAAGUGAUUUUUUAAGAUUAAAAAUACUUUUCUUCAUCUCGAAUGUCAUUUGCGUAAUCUAUAAAACCUAUUAAAUAUAUUUCAAACGUUCUUUUUUUUUUCAAUAAAACAUAAUAAUAGCUCUAUACAAGUUUGGUCAAUUUAACUGGCCUCAUAACUACAAAAAAAAAAUUGAAAUAAAUAUAAAUUACACUUUUUUCUGUAUGGAAUGACUUCACAUUGCAACAUGAAACUACAUUUGUUUAUCCUAAGUAGUUAUAAACUCAUAACAGUAUACAUCUAUUUAUACAUAAAUUAUAUUGUUGUACUGCCCUUUGAACCUUGUCUAACUACUAUUGUACCAUUAUAAGUUGUAACUCACUUGGGGAACGUGCACCUCACGUUAUCUAUAGAAUUACAUUACCCAUGAGCUAUUCUGAGCUGUUCAUGAAAUUUUUGUAUUAUUUUAUCAUUUAUUUUACCUAAACUAACCUUACCCAACCUAAAGAGUUUCGAAUUUUUACAUUUUAGUUCUAUAGUGACCAUAUGUCUAAAUAAUACUUUUUCUGAUAGUGCUUAGCAUCUAGAACAAUCUGAUAUAUUAUAAAAUAUGUAUCUGUAUUAAAAAUACCCUGCCUACCUACCCAAUUGUUUUCAGCAUGUAAUAGGGAACAAAGCAUUUGCUUUUCUAGACCUAAAUGUUAAACGUUUUAUUUUGGAUAUUGUGUACAUGGAUUUCAGUGUUUUGGUUUCAGAUCAAAUGGUUCAUUUUGUGACUCUUACUUUGUAUUUUUUCUUAUGCUGAAUUGUAGUUGUAGUUGUUGCUCUAUAUCAGAGUGCUGAAUUGUGUGUUUUUGAAUUUAGUAUGUUGUAACAUUUCAUUGUUAAAGGGUUUAUAUUAUGAUUAAUACAUUUUUUGUGAGUGUCACUAUGCAAAAUUAGUAAGUGAUGUAUUGUGUUCCAUUGUGGAAGAUUUUUCCAGUGUGUAUACUGUAUCUUUAUUGAAGAGCUAUUAAUGUAAAACAAAUGUAGGUUUCUUUGUUGACUCUGUGGAUCAAAGUGCUUAUAACACUAUGUCAAGUUUUAUUUAUGGGCUGGAUUGUUUACAGUAGGUGUCUGUGACUUGUUGGAGAUAAAUUUUAACAAUAAACAAAUAACACAGUCCACUUGUUUUAAAAUAUAUUAAAAAGAGUCAAACAUAUAUAUAAAUGUUUGUUAUGCUGUUGGUUAUUACAGGUGUAUUGAGAGCUUUAAAUAAUUGCCUCUUUCUUGUCAAAGUCCACACAGGCCAAUUCAGUUACUUUAAAAUUUGCCACUACACGCUCUCUAUGACAAAACUCACAGUCGUGCAGUCUAGAUCUAACUAAAUUUUCAAUGUGUAUUUAUACCCCAACUGAUGCCUAGAAUGUUCCACAAACUACUAAAUAUUGUGAUGCAAUAAUACUCAAUUAAACAUGGGAAAAACUGAAAAAGGGUCUAGUAACAUGAUGCAAUAACAUAAUUGCCAAUUCACAACAAUUGAACCACAAGGUAUGAUUCGUAAACAGUUACGUAAACAAACUUCUAAAAAUAACUAAAUUUAACACUCAUGCUAUAUAAUGAUUUAAAUCAUAACUAUCACAUUAAACUUAACUGGAGGCUGUUGUUAUAUCUAACACACUACUCUUUUACAGAGUUACAUUCAAAAUAUAAUUAAACAACUUAAUUAUCAAUGCAUACCAAUUAGCUAGGCAUCAAAAAUUAGUUUAUUCUAAUUUCAAUGUUAUAUAAGUUUUAAUUUCAAAAGGAAAUGUCACCAAGCUAAGAUAUUAAUUUAUAACCUUUAUUCCUGAUGCUCUACUGAAAGUCAAACCCUCCUAGGACUUCCUGUCUUUCAAAAAUAUGAGUAAUUCUCUAGAACAUUUAAUAUUGGGUUAUUUCUAACAAAUAGAAAGAGAAGAUUCCAGCUUAUUGAAUGGGAUGAGACUAGUAGCCAUCUGGAUAACUAGUUUUUAAGUCUUUGGCAUCAUUUAUGUUGUCUGCUAGCAGUGAAACUCUGCUUGAUCAGACAUGUGAAUUAUUUAACUAAUUCCUAGCUUAGUUAGAAAGCUGGAUAAAUUAUAUUUGUUUUAGAACCUUCUAUUUUACAUUAGUAAUGAUAUUUCGUAUUUAAAAUUGAAUAUGUGAACUUAAUAAAAUUACUUUUGAGACCACACUUGUUAUACAAAAUUAGAGUUUUUGUAUGACAUGGACUUUUUUAGUUAUUGUUAUAAAAGUAAAUAAAAUAUAGAAAUUAGAAACUUGCUAGGUUAGCAAAGAAAAAUAAAUAAAAUAUUCAUAGCAUGCACUCAGCAUGAGCGUAUUUGUGUGAUUUGAUAAGAGUGUGCUGGUAAUUGAUCCUUUGUUUUUACAUAGCUAUUCUGCAUAAAACAUAGCUAUCACACAACCUAACAGGAUCUAACAGCAACUGUAAUGUAUUAAAACUAAAUGAAAAAUAUAUUAGUUGUGGCUGUAAAAAUAAAUAGUGUGUACGUUUUUGUUACACUACAUCAUUCUAGAAAAAGUAAUUUAGAUUUAUUUUUACAUGAUGGUUAUAAGGUUGAUCACACUGAUUGAGAUGAAUAAAGGGGCAAGAGAAAGUUUCGGUACUUCUUGAUCUAGGCAUGUGUAUAGAUUCUAUUAAUUAUAGAGUUAGAAUUAAAUGUUAGCUUGAGGACAAGCAUGAAGUAUUUACUGUGGCAAGAGAGAGUUACAGUACUUCUUGAUCAGUGCACGUGUAUAGAUUCCAUAGAUAUUAAUUAAUAUAAAAUACUGGCUUGAGGACAAGCUUGAAAUAAAGAGGGAGGAAAAAUGUGGUGUAUAUAAUGCAUUUUACCUGAUUUUAAUAGAGCAUUUUUCAAAAUUCGUCAGUUAUUCUGAUAUGCAAAUUUGGUCAAUAAAUUUGUUAAGUUGCUUUCAUCCUAAUUGCAUUUAUUCUUUGUUAGUUUCUUGAGAUAACAGCUAAUUCUCCUGUGGAAAGUAUGGAUGUAAAGCUACAUCUUAUGCAUUGAUAUUUACAGCAGUAUCCAUCAUUGGUAGUUCUUAUGAUUCCACGAUGUUAUGAUGCCCUUUAUGUUUGAAUACGAAUAACCAGUCACAUUGAAAACACUGGUCACUCUGGAUAAGCCUGACAUUAUAGUUUUCUAAAUAACAUUAGGUUUGUUAGUCUGGUACUUGAUUUCAACUGGGACAAUCUGGUAUAUUAUCUCAACUGAUACAGUUUACAAAGAAAACUGUUCAAGAUACAAUAAAAAUGAU
rnacentral:misc_RNA from 1 species